AGAGUUUGAUCCUGGCUCAGGAUGAACGCUAGCGGCAGGCCUAAUACAUGCAAGUCGAACGGUAACAUUUCCUUCGGGAAGAUGACGAGUGGCGCACGGGUGCGUAACGCGUAUGCAACCUACCCUAUACAGGGGGAUAGCCCAGAGAAAUUUGGAUUAAUACCCCAUAGUACUUUAGAGAGGCAUCUUGAAAAGGUUAAAGAUUUAUUGGUAUAGGAUGGGCAUGCGUAAGAUUAGCUAGUUGGUGAGGUAAUGGCUCACCAAGGCGACGAUCUUUAGGGGUUCUGAGAGGAUGAUCCCCCACACUGGCACUGAGAUACGGGCCAGACUCCUACGGGAGGCAGCAGUAGGGAAUAUUGGUCAAUGGGCGAGAGCCUGAACCAGCCAUGCCGCGUGCAGGAAGACGGCCUUCUGGGUUGUAAACUGCUUUUAUAUGGGAAGAAAAUGCCCUUGCGAGGGAAAUUGCCGGUACCAUAUGAAUAAGCACCGGCUAACUCCGUGCCAGCAGCCGCGGUAAUACGGAGGGUGCAAGCGUUGUCCGGAUUUAUUGGGUUUAAAGGGUGCGUAGGCGGCCGAUUAAGUCAGUGGUGAAAGCCAGCAGCUCAACUGUUGAACUGCCAUUGAUACUGGUUGGCUUGAGUUCUGUUAAGGUAGGCGGAAUUGAUGGUGUAGCGGUGAAAUGCAUAGAUACCAUCAGGAACACCGAUUGCGAAGGCAGCUUACUGGGCAUGAACUGACGCUGAGGCACGAAAGCGUGGGGAGCGAACAGGAUUAGAUACCCUGGUAGUCCACGCUGUAAACGAUGAUCACUCGCUGUUGGCGAUAAACUGUCAGUGGCCAAGCGAAAGCGUUAAGUGAUCCACCUGGGGAGUACGCUCGCAAGAGUGAAACUCAAAUGAAUUGACGG
rnacentral:rRNA from 1 species